rnacentral:lncRNA from 1 species
CAGCUCACCUCCCAGUUUCAAGCGAUUCUCCUGCCUCAGCCUCCCAAGCAGCUGGGAUUACAGGCGCCGCCACCACGCUUGGCUAAUUUUUUGUAUUUUUAGUAGACACGCGGUUUCACCGUGUUGGUCAGGCUGGUCUUGAACUCCUGACCUCAAGUGAUCUACCCACCUCGGCUUCCCAAACUGCUGGGAUUACAGGCAUAAGCCACUGUGCCCAACCUGGGGUAUUCUUAUUGUAAAACAUUUUACACGAAAAAUAUACUUUGAAUCAGGAGAGAAACAUUUCAACACAGCAUCAUUAUUUC